UCUCGGCUCUCACUGAGCUAUCCCGGCUAUUACCGAAGUAUCAUCCUCAUUUUACUAGAUGACUUAGGUCUAUGUCAAUUAAAAUAAACACAAGGGUAGUAAAUGAAAAAAGAUAUAGAUUCUAAAAAAUUUAAAUCGAGAUUUAUUUCUCAUUUGUACGUAUCUGAUAUAUCCCACAAGGCUUGUAUAUAUAUAAUAUAAUAAGAAAAAAAAGAAUAAUAAGAAAAAAAAAGAAGAAAAUAAAUUAUAGUUUGUUUGUAAAAGCGUAGGAUGAAUGAAAAAAGAUAAUGAAUUCUUAAAUAACUAAAAAAAAUAAAAGGUAAGAUGUCAAAAAGACUUUUUGUGGGAGUAGAGUUGGGGAUAGAGGGACUUUGAACAAAA
rnacentral:rRNA from 1 species